AAUCCAUAGGUUAAUGAGGCGAACCGGGGGAACUGAAACAUCUAAGUACCCCGAGGAAAAGAAAUCAACCGAGAUUCCCCCAGUAGCGGCGAGCGAACGGGGAGGAGCCCAGAGCCUGAAUCAGCAUGUGUGUUAGUGGAAGCGUCUGGAAAGGCGCGCGAUACAGGGUGACAGCCCCGUACACAAAAGCGCAUGUGCUGUGAGCUCGAUGAGUAGGGCGGGACACGUGGUAUCCUGUCUGAAUAUGGGGGGACCAUCCUCCAAGGCUAAAUACUCCUGACUGACCGAUAGUGAACCAGUACCGUGAGGGAAAGGCGAAAAGAACCCCGGCGAGGGGAGUGAAAAAGAACCUGAAACCGUGUACGUACAAGCAGUGGGAGCACAGGUUUACCUGUGUGACUGCGUACCUUUUGUAUAAUGGGUCAGCGACUUAUAUUCUGUAGCAAGGUUAACCGUAUAGGGGAGCCGGAGGGAAACCGAGUCUUAAUUGGGCGUUAAGUUGCAGGGUAUAGACCCGAAACCCGGUGAUCUAGCCAUGGGCAGGUUGAAGGUUGGGUAACACUAACUGGAGGACCGAACCGACUAAUGUUGAAAAAUUAGCGGAUGACCUGUGGCUGGGGGUGAAAGGCCAAUCAAACCGGGAGAUAGCUGGUUCUCCCCGAAAGCUAUUUAGGUAGCGCCUCGUGAAUUCAUCUCCGGGGGUAGAGCACUGUUUCGGCUAGGGGGCCAUCCCGGCUUACCAACCCGAUGCAAACUGCGAAUACCGGAGAAUGUUAUCACGGGAGACACACGGCGGGUGCUAACGUCCGUCGUGAAGAGGGAAACAACCCAGACCGCCAGCUAAGGUCCCAAAGUCAUGGUUAAGUGGGAAACGAUGUGGGAAGGCCCAGACAGCCAGGAUGUUGGCUUAGAAGCAGCCAUCAUUUAAAGAAAGCGUAAUAGCUCACUGGUCGAGUCGGCCUGCGCGGAAGAUGUAACGGGGCUAAACCAUGCACCGAAGCUGCGGCAGCGAACGUAUCACCCAAGACAACUUUACGGAGUUGACGAUUGACGGAGCGAAGCGACGUCAAAGCGUUCAUUAAAGUCGAGUUGGCUUAGGGAUACGUUCGUUGGGUAGGGGAGCGUUCUGUAAGCCUGUGAAGGUGUGUCGUGAGGCAUGCUGGAGGUAUCAGAAGUGCGAAUGCU
rnacentral:rRNA from 1 species